rnacentral:rRNA from 1 species
GGAGUUAGCCGGUGCUUCUUCUGUGAGUGAUGUCCUUCCUGCCGGCUAUUAACCCGCAGGCCUUCUUCCUCACUGAAAGUGCUUUACAACCCGAAGGCCUUCUUCACACACGCGGCAUGGCUGGAUCAGGGUUGCCCCCAUUGUCCAAUAUUCCCCACUGCUGCCUCCCGUAGGAGUCUGGGCCGUGUCUCAGUCCCAGUGUGGCUGAUCAUCCUCUCAGACCAGCUACGGAUCGUCGCCUUGGUGAGCCGUUACCUCACCAACCAGCUAAUCCGACAUAGGCUCAUCCGAUAGCGCGAGGCCCGAAGGUCCCCCGCUUUCCCCCGUAUGGCGUAUGCGGUAUUAGCCUGGGUUUCCCCAGGUUAUCCCCCACUACCGGGCAGAUUCCUAUGCAUUACUCACCCGUCCGCCGCUCGCCACCAGGGAGCAAGCUCCCCGUGCUGCCGCUCGACUUGCAUGUGUUAGGCCUGCCGCCAGCGUUCAAUCUGAGCCAUGAUCAAACUCUGA